AUCAAAACGACUCUCGGCAACGGAUAUCUCGGCUCUUGCAUCGAUGAAGAACGUAGAGAAAUGCGAUACUUGGUGUGAAUUGCAGAAUCCCGUGAACCAUCGAGUCUUUGAACGCAAGUUGCGCCCAAAGCCAUUAGGCCGAGGGCACGCCUGCCUGGGUGUCACAC
rnacentral:rRNA from 1 species